UCGCGAAACCUUUGCAAUAAGCGAAAGCUUGACAGGGCUAUCCCGAGUGCCAUCCGCUAAGGAAGGCUUUUACCCAGUCUAGAAAGCUGGGGGAAUAAGGAGAGGGCAAGUCUGGUGUCAGCCGCCGCGGUAAUACCAGCUCUCCGAGUGGUGUGGAUGAUUAUUGGGCCUAAAGCAUCCGUAGCUGGCUAGGUCAGUCCCCUGUUAAAUCCACCGAAUCAAUCGUUGGAUUGCGGGGGAUACUGCUUGGCUAGGGGACGAGAGAGGCAGACGGUAUUUCCGGGGUAGGGGUGAAAUCCUAUAAUCCCGGGAAGACCACCAGUGGCGAAGGCUGUCUGCUAGAACGAGCCCGACGGUGAGGGAUGAAAGCUGGGGGAGCGAACCGGAUUAGAUACCCGGGUAGUCCCAGCUGUAAACGAUGCAGGCUAGGUGUUUGAACGGCCACGUGCCGUUCUAGUGCCGCAGGGAAGCUGUUAAGCCUGCCGCCUGGGGAGUACGAUCGCAAGAUUGAAACUUAAGGAAUUGGC
rnacentral:rRNA from 1 species